rnacentral:rRNA from 1 species
UACGGAGGGUGCAAGCGUUGUUCGGAUUUAUUGGGCGUAAAGCGCGUGUAGGCGGUUUGUUAAGUCUGAUGUGAAAGCCCCGGGCUCAACCUGGGAAGUGCGUUGGAAACUGGCAGACUUGAAUACGGGAGAGGGUAGUGGAAUUCCUAGUGUAGGAGUGAAAUCCGUAGAUAUUAGGAGGAACACCGGUGGCGAAGGCGGCUACCGGGACCGAUAGUGACGCUGAGACGCGAAAGCGUGGGGAGCAAACAGG